rnacentral:rRNA from 1 species
AUUGAACGCUGGCGGCAGGCCUAACACAUGCAAGUCGAGCGGAUGAAGGGAGCUUGCUCCUGGAUUCAGCGGCGGACGGGUGAGUAAUGCCUAGGAAUCUGCCUGGUAGUGGGGGAUAACGUCCGGAAACGGGCGCUAAUACCGCAUACGUCCUGAGGGAGAAAGUGGGGGAUCUUCGGACCUCACGCUAUCAGAUGAGCCUAGGUCGGAUUAGCUAGUUGGUGGGGUAAAGGCCUACCAAGGCGACGAUCCGUAACUGGUCUGAGAGGAUGAUCAGUCACACUGGAACUGGGACACGGUCCAGGCUCCUACGGGAGGCAGCAGUGGGGAAUAUUGGACAGAGGGCGAAAGCCUGAUCCAGCCAUGCCGCGUGUGUGAAGAAGGUCUUCGGAUUGUAAAGCACUUUAAGUUGGGAGGAAGGGCAGUAAGUUAAUACCUUGCUGUUUUGACGUUACCAACAGAAUAAGCACCGGCUAACUUCGUG